AGAGUUUGAUCAUGGCUCAGGAUGAACGCUGGCGGCGUGCUUAACACAUGCAAGUCGAACGGGAAACCUUUUAUUGAAGCUUCGGCAGAUUUAACUGGUUUCUAGUGGCGGACGGGUGAGUAACGCGUGGGUAACCUGCCUUGUACAGGGGGAUAACAGUCAGAAAUGACUGCUAAUACCGCAUAAGCGCACAGGACCGCAUGGUCCGGUGUGAAAAACUCCGGUGGUAUAAGAUGGACCCGCGUUGGAUUAGCUUGUUGGUGGGGUAACGGCCCACCAAGGCGACGAUCCAUAGCCGGCCUGAGAGGGUGAACGGCCACAUUGGGACUGAGACACGGUCCAGACUCCUACGGGAGGCAGCAGUGGGGAAUCUUCCGCAAUGGGCGCAAGCCUGACGGAGCAACGCCGCGUGAGUGAAGAAGGGUUUCGACUCGUAAAGCUCUGUUGUCGGGGACGAACGUGGAGACGGCAAAUAGUCGUUUCCAAUGACGGUACCUGACGAGGAAGCCACGGCUAACUACGUGCCAGCAGCCGCGGUAAUACGUAGGUGGCGAGCGUUGUCCGGAAUUAUUGGGCGUAAAGGGAGCGCAGGCGGGAAGGUAAGUCUAUCUUAAAAGUGCGGGGCUCAACCCCGUGAGGGGAUGGAAACUAUCUUUCUUGAGUGCAGGAGAGGAAAGCGGAAUUCCUAGUGUAGCGGUGAAAUGCGUAGAUAUUAGGAGGAACACCAGUGGCGAAGGCGGCUUUCUGGACUGUAACUGACGCUGAGGCUCGAAAGCGUGGGGAGCGAACAGGAUUAGAUACCCUGGUAGUCCACGCCGUAAACGAUGAAUGCUAGGUGUAGGAGGUAUCGACCCCUUCUGUGCCGGAGUUAACGCAAUAAGCAUUCCGCCUGGGGAGUACGGCCGCAAGGCUGAAACUCAAAGGAAUUGACGGGGGCCCGCACAAGCGGUGGAGUAUGUGGUUUAAUUCGACGCAACGCGAAGAACCUUACCAGGGCUUGACAUUGAGUGAAAGGACAAGAGAUUGUCCCCUCUCUUCGGAGACACGAAAACAGGUGGUGCAUGGCUGUCGUCAGCUCGUGUCGUGAGAUGUUGGGUUAAGUCCCGCAACGAGCGCAACCCUUAUCCUUUGUUGCCAGCACGUUAUGGUGGGAACUCAAAGGAGACUGCCGCGGACAACGCGGAGGAAGGCGGGGAUGACGUCAAGUCAUCAUGCCCCUUAUGUCCUGGGCUACACACGUACUACAAUGGGAUGGACAGAGAGCAGCGAAGCCGCGAGGCCAAGCGAACCCCAUAAACCAUCUCCCAGUUCGGAUUGCAGGCUGCGACCCGCCUGCAUGAAGUUGGAAUCGCUAGUAAUCGCAGGUCAGCAUACUGCGGUGAAUACGUUCCCGGGCCUUGUACACACCGCCCGUCACACCACGGAAGUUAUUCACACCCGAAGCCGGCAGGCUAACCUUUUGGAGGCAGCCGUCUAAGGUGGGGGCGAUGACUGGGGUGAAGUCGUAACAAGGUA
rnacentral:rRNA from 1 species